rnacentral:lncRNA from 1 species
AGGAGAUUUGGAGUGACGAGAAAUUUCUGAAUGUUGGAGAUGGAAGAUUAGUUUUAGUUCUAGCUUUAGGAAUUAUCAAGCAUGUAUUUGAGUCUCAUUAAAUUAUUCUUAAUGAAUAUCAUUAUUAUCUUAAUUUUUUUUAAAUACUAUUUAUGUAGGCCUUUUGGUCAAAUCUAAUCAUGAAAUAUCAAUAAAAAAAAAAUUUAUGAUAUCAUUUUGAAUGGUGUUAUAAUAUUGCAUGGAUAGUUGAACAAUGGUAUCUAUGUUGUGUCUAGACCUAAUG